rnacentral:lncRNA from 1 species
AAUCACGCAAGGGACCCCUUAACUAUUCAGGAUCAAUAGAACGAAUCGCACUUUUACCACUAAACUAUACCCGCUACAAUACCAUUAUUGUAUAUAAAACGAUCUUUUGUCCAACAAGGGAAUCAAUCAUAAUUAUGAAAUAGGUGCAUAAUUUUAUGAGAAAUAGAGUGUUUCCAUGUUUCGUAAAGGGCCCCCUAAUGAAAUUUAGAAAAGGGGGCAAAUCUCAUUUUUGGAUUUUGUUGAAGGUAUUUUGAUAGAUAGAUCUCGACAAAAUUACUAAACUAAAUUCAUAACACAAAAAUACAUUAUGCAAGCAAGAAUCCAUAGUUCUAUUUCUUUUUUUAGAUACGUUACCUGAUUCAUUCGUAGGAUAUACGAUCACAUAGUGAUUUUUAUUUUUGUUUGAUCAUAUUUAAAUGUUUGAAUUAAUUACAAGUUUCAAAUCUGAUACAGAAAAAUAAAUCAUUGUUAUCCAGGAUUCAUGGGAAAAAAGAGCUGUGCCAGUACCUAGAUUAUGCAAGCAAGAAUCCAUAGUUCUAUUUCUUUUUUUAGAUACGUUACCUGAUUCAUUCGUAGGAUAUACGAUCACAAAGUGAUUUUUAUUUUUGUUUGAUCAUAUUUAAAUGUUUGAAUUAAUUACGAGUUUCAAAUCUGAUACAGAAAAAUAAAUCAUUGUUAUCCAGGAUUCAUGGGAAAAAAGAGCUGUGCCAGUACCUAGCUGGACUCUGGUUGGAUAAAAAAACAAACUAAAAAAGAAAAUCUAAAAUUAUGGAUUUAGAUUAUCUAUUUAGUAUAUAUAGAAUGAAUAUAUAUUUGAAUCUAUAUUUAUGAGUUAAUAUAGAAUUAUGAAUAGUAAUGAAAUAAAAUUAUAAUCAAAUAGAAAAAAAAAAAAGAUAGAUAAGUUAUAUCAAAUGAAGAUCAAUAUCAAAUAAGAUAUAUAGAAGGCUUUUUUCGAGCCCUACUUUUUGUUCUUUUUGUUUAUGCGAGGUAUCAUAAGCAUAAUCAUUCCAUUUUUUGAAUUGGGGAGAGAAAUCAAUAUCAAAUAAGAUAUAUAGAAGGCUUUUUUCGAGCCCUACUUUUUGUUCUUUUUGUUUAUGCGAGGUAUCAUAAGCAUAAUCAUUCCAUUUUUUGAAUUGGGGAGAGAUGGCUGAGUGGACUGAAGCGUCGGAUUGCUAAUCCGUUGUACGCAUUUUUGUACCGAGGGUUCGAAUCCCUCUCUUUCCGUUUAUUGAUGAUUUGGCAUUUUUUUCUUUUGAACUUAUGGAAUUUCUUUUUUUUUUUUAUUAUUAUUUCCUGUUUCUUUCAUUUUUAACUAGUUCUUUUUGAAAAAUAGAUAGAAAAACGAAAAAUAUUUCAAAAUCCAGGACAAGUAAGGAAAAGAAAAAAGAUUUUCUUAUUCUUCACGUCCAGGAUUACGUCCAGGAUCAUUAGAUAGGAAUCCGAAGAUGAAAAGAGAAACAAAGAAUAUCACUAUCGUGUAAACAAAUAGUUUUAGAGUAAGCAUUACAAAAUCUCCAAGAUAAUUAAAAAAAACGACAGAGAAAAGAAUAAGAUUCUCUCCUAUUUCAUAUUAUGUUUCCUUGAGACUCAGUUUAUAAGAAAUGAAGUUAUUUCAAAAAAACUUAAGAAAUUGGUUUGUAGUAAGAGUUGAGAUCCUUUUUUACCAUUACCAAAAAUUGUAUUUCAUAUCUACAAUCAAGAUCCACGUAUUGGUGGUAGACUCAAAUCGAAUAAUAGAAUUUUUAUUUUUUAAUGGAAAAAAAGGAAAUGAUGAGAUGAUCUAUAUUUUUAUUGUCUAUCCAAAAAUUGCAAGAUUUGUAAUCACGGAUUCACACUGUAAGACUUAUCUGAUCUUUAAAAAUAUUCAAAUUUGAGUUUUCUAAUAAAUUCUGACUUUUUUUAGGACAUUAUACAAAUUAAAUAUCUUAUCGAAAACUUACAGCAGCUUGCCAAACAAAAGCUAAGAGAAAAAAGAGUAAGGGUAUUACUGGCAUAAAAUCUACAAUUGGAUUCAAAAAAGCAUAAGCUUCAGGUAAUUUCCCAAGAAAAAACUACUUGAAUAAAGGGCAGAGUUAAUACAAAUACAGACCAAGCUAAAGAUAUUAAGCAUAACAAAAAUGUUGUUCUUUAAGAAAAUGAAUUGUAUUUUUAUUUUUUUUAUUAAAUCUGAUCUUUAAAAAUAUUCAAAUUUGAGUUUUCUAAUAAAUUCUGACUUUUUUUAGGACAUUAUUCAAAUUAAAUAUCUUAUCGAAAACUUACAGCAGCUUGCCAAACAAAAGCUAAGAGAAAAAGAGUAAGGGUAUUACUGGCAUAAAAUCUACAAUUGGAUUCAAAAAAGCAUAAGCUUCAGGUAAUUUCCCCAAGAAAAAACUACUUGAAUAAAGGGCAGAGUUAAUACAAAUACAGACCAAGCUAAUGAUAUUAAGCAUAACAAAAAUGUUGUUCUUUAAGAAAAUGAAUUGUAUUUUUAUUUUUUUUAUUAUCUUCUUAUUAUAUAUAUUAUUAUAUAUAUGAUAUGAUUUAUUAUAUAUAUAUAAUUUAUUAUUAUCCGCUUUUUUUGUAUUAUACUUUUAUAUUCACAAUGAAAUAUAAAAGUAUAAUACAAAAAAUAAAGGUUUAUUUUAUUUUCUAUUUAUAUUACAAUAGAUAAUAUAUAGAAUAGAAAAUGGGGCGUGGCCAUACUUUUAUAUUCACAAUGAAAUAUAAAAGUAUAAUACAAAAAAUAAAGGUUUAUUUUAUUUUCUAUUUAUAUUACAAUAGAUAAUAUAUAGAAUAGAAAAUGGGGCGUGGCCAAGCGGUAAGGCGGCAGGUUUUGGUCCCGUGAUUCGGAGGUUCGAAUCCUUCCGUCCCAGGUGAAACCGAUUGAUGAUAUCACCAGUUUUCUUCAUGAAGGCAUAAAAAGGCUUCUUAUACGUUUCUAGGGGAGGGGAUAUAUUAUUCAUCUAAAGUUGCUCAACCUACAUAUUAGGAAAAAGUCAAUAAAUAAAGUUUAUCGAUAAAUACCGUAGACCCUAUAAGCUUUUUUACUUAUUUUCAAUUAGUAUAUUUAGAAAAUAUACUAAUUGGAAAUCGAACAAUGAUUAUGAUUAUGCUAUUCUAUUCAUCUAUAAUAUUUUCAUUCAUCUAUCAUAUUUUCAUGUAAAUGGAGGAAAAAAAGAAAAAUCUAUGCAAAGAAAGUGGUUCAAUUCAAUGAUCUAUUCAUCUAAAGUUGCUCAACCUACAUAUUAGGAAAAAGUCAAUAAAUAAAGUUUAUCCAUAAAUACCGUAGACCCUAUGAGCUUUUUUACUUAUUUUCAAUUAGUAUAUUUAGAAAAUAUACUAAUUGAAAAUCGAAUUUGAUAACUAUUCUAAAAAAAAAAUUAUCAUCCAAUGACUAUUCUAUUCAUCUAUAAUAUUUUCAUUCAUCUAUAAUAUUUUCAUUUAUCUAUAAUAUUUUCAUGUAAAUGGAGGAAAAAAAGAAAGAUCUAUGCAAAAAAAGUGGUUCAAUUCAAUGAUCUUUAACAGGGGUUUAGAAUACAGGUGUGGUUUAAGUAAAUCAAUAGAUAGUUUUGGUCCUAUUGGAAAUAACGUAAAUGAAGACCCAUCUAGUUUAACUGAUAUGGAUAAUAACAUUGAUAACUGGAAGAACAAUAGUGAAAAUUCUUGUUAUAGUCAUGCUGAUUCUUUAGCAGAUGUCACGAACAUAGAUAAUUUACUAUCUCAUAAAAAAAAUUCAAUUAGGGACAGUAAUAGCAACAUAUAUGACAUAUAUUAUGCUUAUGAUACUAAUGAUACUAUUGAAUUGGAUUCGGAAGAAGAAUCUUUGAAAGAUCGUCUGGAUGAAGACAUGCUUUCUCCGGAUCCCAUUGAAUUGGAUUCGGAAGAAGAAUCUUCAAAAGAUCGUGUGGAUUCGGAAGAGGAAGAAGAGGAAAAAGACCAAUCUUAUAUCGACCGUCUUGAUUCUUAUCAAGAAAAGACAGGAUUACCGGAGACGGUUCAAACAGGCACAGAUCAACGUGAGGAAAUCAAUCGGUUGUUCAAAGAUAUUAUGAAUAAACUUGACUUGUAUUUGCAAACUGCGAAAAAUCGUGUGGAUUCGGAAGAGGAAGAAGAGGAAAAAGACCAAUCUUAUAUCAAUCGUCUUGAUUCUUAUCAAGAAAAGACAGGAUUACCGGCGGCGGUUCAAACAGGCACAGGUCAACUAAAUGGUAUUCCUUUAGCACUAGUUGUUAUGGAUUCUGAGUUUAUAGCGGGUAGUAUGGGAUACGUAGUGGGUGAGAAAAUCACUCGGUUGAUCGAAUAUGCUACCAAUCUACUUUUACCUCUUAUUAUAGUAUGUGCGUCCGGAGGAGCGCGUAUGCAAGAAGGAAGUUUGAGCUUAAUGCAAAUGGCUAAAAUUUCUUCUGCCUUAUAUAAUUAUCAAAUCAAUCAAAAGUUAUUCUAUGUAGCGAUACUUACAUCUCCGUCUACUAGUGGGGUAACAUCUAGUUUUGGGAUGUUGGGGGAUAUCAUUAUUGUCGAACCUAAUGCAACCAUUGCAUUUGCGGGUAAAAGAGUAAUUGAACAAUUGUUGAAUAAGGAAGUGCCUGAAGGUUCCCAAUCGGCUGACCUUUUAUUCGACAAGGGCUUAUUGGAUGCAGUCGUACCACGUCAUCUUUUAAAGGAGUUUUUAACUGAGUUAUUUCAGUUCCAUGGUUUCGCUCCUUUGACUUAAAAUUGGACUAAAAAUGAAAACUAAUGCAGACAUUUUAUUUAUGUUUUUCAAAUUUGAUGACGAGAUCCAAUCCGAGUAGAUAAGAGGCUAUGGCUAUGAUACAAAAAUAAAAUUAGAACACACAAGAGUAAAGUAAAAGAUAAGAAUAAAAAUAAUAGGUAUAAAUAAAAUAUGAAAUUGAGGUAUCCCAUUUUAUGAUAAACUUACCAUCCCUUUUUGUUCCUUUAGUAGAGCCUGCAUUUCCCGGCAGUUGCAAUGGCUUCUUUAUUUCUUCAUGUUGAGAAAAGACUUUUUAUUUUCCACACAAAAAAUCACUAAAUAAUAUAUGAAAAAGAUAACUCAGAAUAUUCGAAGGAUUACUAUAUAUAUAAUAUAUAUAGUAGUCCAAUUUUUGUACGAUGGGACUGUAGAGGGUAUUAUAGUAACUGUUUUAUCGCUUGUUUUUGCUAGAAAAUUAUUUUGUUGGGCAGAAGGUCAUCCUGCAUAUCGUUUAGGAGACUCAUGGAUUGCCUUUGUAGCAGGGUCUCAAAACAGUUUCACUAUUUUGUGUUGUUCUUUCAAAUUUUUACAUUCAUUUGGGAGGAAGUUUUUCGCUUACAUUCAGAUGAAGUUGUCCAGUGUGCCACGAGAAGAAAGGGUCAGGCUACUUUUUUAUGCAAUUGUAAAGAUCUUUCUAACAUUAUAUCGAAUGAGAUUUAGUUGUCGUUCCGGCUUUUCUGGAAGAGAUCGUUGUAUUAUUCCCAGAGUUCCUAUGAACACUAGUCAGUGCCUCAUACAAAAAACUAACCCAGAUAGUAAUGAUGUCCUUUCUAUGAAAACCAGAGAAAGAGAAAAGGGGACCAUUCCCUUGAGUUCUGUUUAUGCUAGUCCUCCAUGCAACCGUCUAAAAAAAAGUGUGGAGUUACCCAGAUUAUUGAGUGGGCGAAUAGAAAAUGUUCCACCAAAGGACGAAUAAACAAGCGAGAAUAGUCUAUAAUAUAUCAAUUUAUAUGAAAAAAUUAAAAAUUGAUAUAUUAUAAGCUAAGCUGCUCUAUUACUUGUAUUUACUUGUAAUAGAACUUAUGGAUUAUUAUUAUAUAUACAGUUGAAAAAUAAGAUGAAACUGAGGACGAAAAAUGGAAAAAAAGAAAGCAUUCAUUCCCCUUCUAUACAAUCAAAGGUUUAAGUGUAGGAGAGUUUGAUAACACCGAAAAACAUAGUUUAUUUUGACUCGAUUUGCCCAUGUUUUAUUAUUAUUAUGUUUCAUUUUAUAGUAUUAUGCUUGUGAUUUAUGCAUGUUUCAGGUAUUUUACGAGUAAGAGUUGAUUUAUGAAGAAACCAGAAGAAAAUGGAAAAAAUGGAUAAAAGUGGCAAAAAUACACACGUGGCUACCUGCAUGGUGCCCGCCGUGACUAGGCAGGCGUGGAAUCCCCUAGAGCGGAAAAAGGAAGGCUGAAGAUGCAGUCAAAGGCUUGUGGCGACCGCCACAAGCCUCAUGGUGUUCUCCAUGCACAUCAAAGAAGGUCGAAAGCAUAUUUUGCACUUGUGGCGACCGCCAUGAAGUUCGGUUCCUGAAAAAACGCAACAAAAGGAAUCAGUCCUUCCCCAUUCCACAUAUUUUUCUCCCACAAAGUCUACACGACUUAGACUCGGAUCAGUGCUUAUUUUUACUAUAAAGUGUCAUUUUUGAGGAGUUUCUGCCAUCCAAAUUUGUACGCAUACAUUUUAGUUCUUAGUUUUCAGCAGAAAUUACAUUCAGGAUCAAAGUUGUCGAUAUUUGAAGGUAUUUUCCAUUCAGUUCAAUGUACUCGAAGUAUUUUCGCAUUUAAUUCCUGUUUACAGGUUCUUUACAUAAUUGCUUUAAUUUGAUUCUGUCUGUUCAAAAUUUAUUUAUUUGCAAUGAUGUUGUCAAUUUCUAUUACCAUGAAUCGCAUAUUUAUGUUUAAUACCAUAUCUGGCUAAACUAUUUUUAGUUCGGUAUGUGAGGAUCAUCGUUCCGACGAGACUCGGUAAUAAGUUGGCGUAAACCUUUUUAUAAAUAUUCUUUUGAUUUUGAUUUUUAAUUGUAAUUCUGAAAAGUUUUGCACGAGAGUGAAACCAUUAAGGUUCAAAAUAAAAAAUGAGAGUGUGAGACUUGAACCGGAUAUUAAAAAUUAGGCAUUAAUACUAAAUACAACGAGAGCAAUUUAGGAUUAAUUAGAACUUAUUGAUUUUCAAAAAGUAUUUCCUGUUACAAAUGGGCUAGCGAGAGCAGGCAUUUGAUCUGGAGGUAUAUCUAGAGUCAACAAAACGAGAGUGUGAGAUAAUGGCUUUUAAAUUAAUAUUUCUUUACUAAAAAGUGAUUUAAUACAUUCACACAUACCAAUGAAUUAUUGAGUCCCCGAGGUACGUCGGGAUCCACGUUUCGGCCUCUCCUUUCUGCUAUAUUUUCCAAACUUUAUUUUAGUUUUAUUAUUACCUUCCCCCAAAUCAAAAUUUCAUAAGCCUUAGAUUUACAUAGCACCAAUAGAUAGCGAUAAGUUUGAUUAUUGAUCCAUGUAGAUUCGAUGUCUUUUAAAACUACGUGAGACAACUAUGCACUUGCAAUUAGAUAUUUCGAUAGACUCACUAAGUCGCAAUCAACCACUCACACUUGAAUCCCAACAAUCUCUCCCACAGGUGUAAUUCAACCAUUUCACUGGCCUUGAUCUACAUUAUGAUCCAUGUUUUCUCCCCCACCGAGCCUAACUAUACUCUGGUACCAUUUGUUAGGGAGUCCAUGGAGUGCAAGAAGUGUCAAUAAGUUAAAUGUUCAUGGAUCCAAGAGACUUUGACACCACAUAUUGAUAAAUGUCUUUACAUCGUUCUUUCUAGUCAUUUUCCUUUAUUAUUCUACCAUAUUUUGUUCUAUUUCCUUUCAUUUAUCAUGUUUUAUGCUUUGGUUGGAGUUUUCUUGUGAAUUCCAGGGUGUAAUGAGCAUCCAAGACAAAGAGGGAUCAAAGACAUGCAAAACGGAGCAAAAUGGUAUUUUGGAAAUUUCUCCCAUACAAAAACCUGGGACUGCUACGACCAUCCCUAUCAUUUUCUACAUGUCGUAGCAGCAUGAUGCCUCAUCCCCCAUAUUUGCAAAUUACCAAUAGUAAAUGCAGAAGGCAGAUACGACCACCUGUAGCAGCUGUUACAGGCCGUAGCAGGGAGGCAAUAGAAAAGUCAAAUAUUUGUUUUGCUUCCAUAAAUAAAAUGAUUCACUCUUAAUUAUGGCUCUUAGGCACGAUUGGAUCUGUAUCUAAUCUGAAUAUUUCAUAUUGAACCAAAUAUAUUUUGCACUUUUAAUUUUUCCUAUAAAACUCAUAGUCUGCUAUGAGUUUAGGUUCUCCAAGUUUUAUCACUUUCCAUUCCUAGUUUUUGUUCUAUUUUCUUUGUAACUUAAGUCUCCAAAGGAGCAAUUUGUGGAAUAAAAUUUAUGCAUAUUUAAGAUUUUAUAAUUCAUUAUCUUUCUAUUAUUCAUCUCUUGUGUUUGAUUUUUAUGAGUUUGAUGAUGAACACCCCUGUGAUUGCGUUUUCCCUCUGUAGCGGUAAAUUCAUUAUCAUCAAACUAUGGAUAAGCUAGAGAUCAAAUAACAAGAGUCGCCACCGCGCUUUUAUUUUUUCCAAGGGAAAAGGGAAAAAGUACGAACAAAACCCAAAAUUAAGAAGUUUUCAAAUCAAAACUAAUAAAAUGUUAGAGAUUACAAGUAAGGGGGUUGGUUACACAGAGGGAAUGUGUUAGCACCCAAAGUGGCCUAGGUACUCCUAGGGAGCCCUUUUUGUGCGCAUAUGUAUUUGGUACAAAGUGAUGUUUACAAACAAACAGAAUGGGGGGAUGAGAAAAGAAUUCAUUAAUUAUAUUUUUUGUGUUUGACAAGACCUUCGGUCUUACGCCUACGUACCAAUAUAAAAAUGAGGGAUCAAAACCUAGUAGUUCAUGAUACAAAUUUCAAAGUGGAUGCAUUGCUUUUAAUCAAAAAUUAAGUUUGAAAGGCACAAAGGCCUGAAAAUGGUUUGAAUGAGUUAGUUCUUUUUGACUUUUGAAAAUUUAGGUCAAGUAUAUUUAAGUCUAUUUACAAGUUUGAUUAAGAAAAGAAGUUUGAAAAUGCAAUUGCAUAAUGCCAAAGUUUCUAGUUUGCAAAGUGGUCAAAAUUUAGAAAAAUAAUAAGUUCAAACAAAGAAGUUUUUUUUAAAGGAGGGAGAGAUUUUGAAAUUACAGAAAUGGGGAGGAGAUGAAGAGACUAAUCCUAUGUACAAAAUUAAAAGUUAAGAGUUGAAAAGAUCUGACUGAUGGGUAGUAAUCCAAUAGGCAAGAAUGCCAUAUAUAAACCCCAAAUUCCCUUGGACAUUAGAAUCAAGCAACAAAUAAUGCAUACAAUAUUAACUUGAAGAGCAAUGCAUCAAAUAAAGAUGGCCACAUCCAAGCUUAUCCAUUCCAUGAUGUUCUUCAAGGUAGCCCAUGUAACAGAUGAAUUCCACAAGUCACGGGUUCAAAAUAACAGCUUCACAAUGAUCAUGUUGCAGAUGAACUUAGAGAGAUCUUGAAUGAACAUAGUCUACUUCAAAGUUUUUGCAAGCACUUGGUUUCUCAAUAAGUUGGCAUUGGCCAAGUCCUUUAGCAUAGGAAUGUUGCCUAAGUUCUAAGUCCAUUUGUCCAAGAUCAAGCCAACAGUCCUCACAAGAGUUUUUUAGGGUUUUUUGUUGUUAUUAUGUACAUUAAUGGUCAAAUACCACACAAACAAGCAAAGCACAAACAAGAUAUAUCACACAAUAUGGUCCAAGUGGACAAAGUGAAAAUUGCAUUAACAUAAACAAUUAGAAUGAUAUGAACAAUGGCAAAUGUAUAAAAGCUAGAAUUAAAUUACAUUAAAGUAAAGGGCUUGAAAUUAAAAGUUAGUAGUUAAUAGGUUAGAAGUUAGUAUUGUUUUUUUUUGCUUUUCAUUCUUAGACAUUCUUUGGAGAACACUCAACCCACUUAUCACAAGCAUGGAUCCUUGAACCAAGACAUCCAUGCUUGUGAUAAGUGGGUUGAAAGAGGAAAAUUUUUGAAAUUUUUUGGUGAAACUUUCAUAUUUUUUGGAUCAAUAUUAAAAUUAAUAUGAAUGAAAAUAAAGCAAUUAAAAAGAUAUUCAAAUAAUUAGAAUAAACGUGGACCACUUGAUCUCCCUCAUUAAUUGAGGUGGCAGAUCAAGUGGCCACCAGCGCGCGUUCCAUGUGGUCUCUAGUCAACUGAGCAGCACGCGUGGUAAUUAGAAACAACGCUCAGGAUUAAAACAAUUUAAAUGGAUCUUAUGGUUGGAGACGUGCCAACACAUGGCCGGAGUUGUAGCUCCGGUCUUCUUCUCCGGUGGACCUCACCGGACUGGUCCACCUUCAACCAUCACCAGAAUAAAUAAGGAGGACAUGAUCUAAAAGGAAAAAUAGCGUAGAUCACGAAUAUCACCUCAAUUUUGACUAACUCCUCACAUAUAGAAAGAUAUGAGGAGUUGAAAUUUGAGGUAUGUCAACUGAGUUGCUUCGAUUUGACCUCUAAGCAACUCAAUCUCUGCCUACAUUGGUAGGACUUCAGACAAACCAAAGAAUCAAGAGAAUUGAGCAAGAUUAGAGAGAAUCGAAGAGAUGAAAUUUUCUGAAAAUUACCUUCAAUGCAGUGCAAUUCUUGAUGUUGCUUGCUUCAAACACUAUUUGAUCACACUUGAGAAGCUAGCAGGAAGUGAUUGAUUGAGGUUGCAAGGCUUUGGAUCCUGGAGUUUUUGAAUCUCCAACAGUUGAGAUUCAAACUCAAAUUUCAAGUUGAAAUUUAUCAGGUUUUCCUUUGGAAUGAGAGGGUUUCAAUGGGGGGAAAAUCUGGUGUAAGACCCUAAUUUUCACCCUAAGAUCCCUCAUGCAAUUUCAUCAUAAGCAUUAGCAUUGGGAUCAUACCUUGGCAUCCUCCUUACCCCUCUUCAUUGGGUUUGUUUUGGGAGAGACCACCAAGCACUUUGUGAUUAUAUCAUACUAGUAUAUUAUCAUUUUACUAACCAAAAUACCAAAAAUAUGUCUUUGUAUCUAUCUAACUCUUUUGUAGGUAGGGGCAUGAUCUCCUUGAUUCAUUGAUCACAUGUAGGGUUUAAGAUCCUCAUGAACAAAGAGCACAAUCAAGAAUCAAUUCAAGAAUGGUUAUGAAUAUCAUAUAUGAGUCCCAAUUUCUUCUACAUGUUAUAUUGAUCAUGUUUUCUUCAAGAGUUUGAGGGUGAUUUUCCUUGGAAACCCUAGUUUGACUGGGUAUCUUGAGUAACUUCUCCAACAAGCUAUCCCAUCAAUUGAUCAAAUUUCUCAAGGGACACCUCAAAUUUCCCUAGACCCUAUCUCCUACAAUUUUCACCAUAUGAAAAUGAUUCCAAAAGCAAACUUACUCUAAAUGACAUUAUAAACAACUUUCACGUUGAGACCUAGAGCUAGUUUUGCUUGGAAAAUCAUUUUAUAUGUUGAAACAUUAUAGGUCAUUUUGUCUAAACCCUAAUUUGAAAGUCAACUUCCAUAGACCAUAACUUGCUCAUUUUUUAUGAGAUGAAAGAUUUCCAAGUUACACAAUCAAAUUCAAUGUGUCUACUUCAACUUUGACGUUUGGAGUGGGAGCUAAUUCAACUUCUUUGAACAUGUGAUAUGAGGCUACAUUAUAGGUCACUUUUGACUUAUACCAUUGAUCAAGUGAUUUUUCCAAACUUCAAAAAUGCAUAACUCUAUCAUUUCAAAUCCAAAUGACAUGAAAUUGGUGACCAUUUGGAAGGUCUUUGAUAGAACUACAACUUUUUUGAAGACACGUUUCUCAUUUGAAGCUCCCAUAAAAAGUUAAGCAAGGUGGAAUAUUAAGACAUAGGGGUUGACACUUAGAAAAUUUUUGAUAUGUCAAAUUUUUCCAAACUUCCACCUCAAAUAUCUCCAAGUUCCCAGCUCCAAAUGAAAAAGUGUUCAACAUCAAACUUGUUCCUCUUGAUCUCACCCUUCCAAAGAGCUAAAAUUCAUUCAUUUUAGAUAAGAAAUGCAUAGGCUGCACAUGGCUUAAACAGGCUGGUAUCAUGUGGCAUGGAUCAAACUUCAAACAACAAUGCACAUGUACCUUGCAAUCCAAUCCAUCUUCAAAGUAUCUGAUCAUUCAUUUGGACUUUCAAACCAUCAUUCCAUGGGCCAAUGCAUGCCCAUGCAGCCAUGCUUGCAUCAUUUUGCCAAAUCUGGAAAGUUGAUAGAGUGUGCAAAUAUCAUUUGAAUUCUAUAUAAAUUGAAGCCCUCAUGCUCAGAAAUCAUACACACCUCGCGCCAACUUUGAAUCCCCACAGAAAACCCUUCACAUUAAGAGGAUAAACCUGAAAAAUUUAGUUGAAUUUGAACUUGAAUCUCCACUGUUUUGGAAUUCAAUUCUUCAGGAGUCCAUUUUUCUAAGCCUUUCCUUUCCUCUUCUGCAAGCAAUUGAAGUGAAGCAAAACACGAUUUAGAUCAAGAUCUAGCAAGCUCAGACCUCCAUUGAAGGUAAUUUGCAGAAAAUUUGAACUCUUCGAUUCUCCUUGUUUCUUGUUCAAUUCUAUUGAUUAUUGUGUUGGCUGAAGUCCUACCAAUGUAGGCAAAGUAUUUGAGUUGCUUUGAGGCCAAAUCGAAGCAACUCAGAUCAUGAACCUCAUUUUUCAAUUCCACUUAUCUCUCAAUAUAGUUGGAAUUGGAAGAAAUGGAGGUGAUAUUCGUGCUCAGUGAUGUUUUCUCUUUAAAAUCAUGUCCCUGUUUGAAAUUUUGGUGAUGGUUCAUGAUGACCAGUCCGGCGAAGCAUGGAAUUGGAAGAAAUGGAGGUGAUAUUCGUGCUCAGUGAUGUUUUCUCUUUAAAAUCAUGUCCCUGUUUGAAAUUUUGGUGAUGGUUCAUGAUGACCAGUCCGGCGAAGCUCGCCGGAGAAGACAAUCGGAGCUCUGGCUCCGGUGAUGAGGUGUCUUUGGUCUAAACUGUGUGAUCCUUGCUCCACGUUAUAAUCUCGGUCGUUCCUUGUGAAUACCAUGUUGGCCACGCAGUUGACUAGGACAUUGGUGGAAUGCGCGUUGUGGAUCAUCAGAUCUGCCACCUCAAUUAAUGAGGGAGAUCUGAUGGUCCACGUAUUUUAGCAUUUUCUGAAUUUCCAUUUAAUUCCAUUAUUUUCAAUAAUUCAUAAUAAAUUUGAUAUUGAUCCAAAAAAUAUGGGACUUUCACCAAAAAAAUUCAAAUAUUUUUCUUUAUCAUAUUUUGAAUUAAAAAUAUUUUUUGGAUCAUUAUUAAUAUUUUUUAUGAAUUAAUUGAUUUUUCAUUUGUUUUUAAUUGUUUAAAAAUAUUUUAAUGUGUCCAAAAAUUAUGAAAUUUUUUAUCCAAGGUCCUUUGACCUUGUUUGACCUAUGAUAAAUCACAUGGCCAUUUAUUUGGUGUUUUGAUGUGGUUUUAGGAUUUGGACAAAACAUAUUUGAAUUUAAUGCAUUAUUUUAAUAUUUUAAUUGAAUAAAUGUCAUUUUAAUUAUGUUGACCAUUUGGAUUGACUUAUUAGAGUUUCUCAUCUGUUGUUAGGCCUUGGUCAAGGUUGAUUUGACUUUGUCAAAUUAAUAUUAUUGGAUUUAGGGGAUUGAUGGAAUGUACAUUCCAUCUCCCAUAAUGAAUGAAUAAUAUUAAUUUGGUAAAAGUCGUCCUUUGACCAAUUUGUGAUCUCAUUCAUCCCUUUCCCUCUUCAUCUAAUUCCCCUUCUUCAUCCAUUCAUUUUCAUUUGGCCAAUGAUAUCUCAAAGUCCUAAUGCUAGUUGAUUGAAAGAUUAACAUGAGUAUGGAUGAUAUUAGGCCACUCCUUUUGCAUAUUUUUGUGUGUGGUAUGUUUAAUGAGCAUAGUUCUUAAUACUAUGUCUCCAACAUGCAUUAACACCAAAAGUUUAUUGCCCGAUCUCAAAUAGUUGUGACUUCUACAUAAGUCCAAUUACGAUUACUUAACAUAGCGCUAAAUUUGUGACAUAAAAGGCAUAAGCAUUCUAGUUAGUGAGAUUGUAAGUCUCCUCUCUUCCAUGGUAUUGUGUGGAAACUUGGCCUUCUUUCCUUCCUUUGGAAGAUGUUUUAGUUCAAGGAUCCAUGCUUGUGGCAAGUGGGUUGAGUGUUCUCCAAAGAAUGUCUUGAAAUCAAAAAGCAAACAAAAAUAGCUAUUAACUUACUAACCAUUAACUUUUACUUUCAAGAUUUUAUCUUUAGUGCAAUUUACUUUUAUUGUUCUAUUUUCAUUUGUCAUUGUACAUAUCAUUCUAAUUGUUUAUGUUUAUGCAAUCUUCACUUUGUCCACUUGGACCAUAUUGUGUGACAUACUUUGUUGCUUUGUUUGUUUGAUUGGUCUUUGACCAUUAAUGCACAAAAUAAUAACAAAAACCCUAAAAAAACAUUUGAGUGGACUGUUGGUUUGAUCUUGCCCAAUUGGACUUAGAACUUAGGUAACAUUCCUUUGCUAAUAGACUUGGCCAAUGCCAAUUUGUUGAAGAACCAAGAACGUGCAAGUUUGAAUUCAUCUGAUACAUCAUUCUAGACCUCUCCAGAUUCAUCUUCAACAUUGAUCAUUGAUGAGUUGUUAUGUUGAACUUGUGACUUGUGGAAUUCAUCUGCUACAUAGGCUAUUUUGAAGAAGAUCAUUGAAGUGGAUAAGCUUGGAUGAGGCCAUCUUUAUUUAAUGCCUUUGCUCUUCAAGAUUGAUAUGAUUGUGCUUUUGUGUAUUGCUUGUUUCUAAAAGUCUAAGGGAAUUCUGGGUUUCUAUUGACAUACUUGUCUAUUGGAUUGCUUCCAUUUGGUCAGAUCUUUUCAACUUUAAACUUUUAAAUUUUGUGCAUAGGGUAGUCUUUUCAUCUUCUCCCCAUUUCUUUAAUUUCAAAAUCUCUCCCUCCAUUUUUAAAACCUUCUUUGUGUGAACUACUUUUAUUCUAAACUUUGACCACUUUUAAAAAAGGUAGAAACUUUGGCCUUAUGCCAUUGCAUAUUUGUGUGAACUACUUUUAUUCUAAACUUUGACCACUUUUAAAAAAGGUAGAAACUUUGGCCUUAUGCCAUUGCAUUUUCAAACUUAUUUUCUUAAAUCAAACUUGUAAAUGAACUUAACUAUACUUGACUUAAACUUUCAAAAAAAAGCCAAAAAGAACUAACUCAUUCAAACCAUUUUGAGGCCUUUGUGCCUUUCAAACUUAAAUUUUAUUAAAACCAGCACACUCAUUUUGAAAUUUCUAGCACGAACUACGAGGUUUUGAUCCCUCAUUACUCAUUUUGAAAUUUCUAGCACGAACUACGAGGUUUUGAUCCCUCAUUUUUAUCUUGGUACGUAGGCACGAGACCGAAGGUCUUGUCAAACACAAAAAUAUAAUUAAUGAAUUCUUUUCUCAUCCCCCCCAUUCUAUUUGUUUGUAAACAUCACUUUGUACAAAAUACAUAUGCACACAAAAAGGGAUCCCGAGGAGUACCUAGGACACUUUGGGUGCUAACACCUUCCCUCUGUGUAACCAAACCCCUUACUUGUGAUCUCUGAAUUUUAUUAGUUUUUAUUUGAAAACUUCUUACUAUUUGGGUUUUGUUCGUACUUUUUCCUUUUUCCCUUGGAAAGAAUAAAAGCACGGUGGCGACUCUUGUUAGUUGAUCUCUAGCUUGUCAGUAGCUUGAUGAUCAUGAAUUUCCCGCUACAGAAAUUAAGUGGCAACUCUAUUGGGGAGUAGUCUCCAGUGGGUUUAGCCUACUUUUUGUGUGAAUAUAUUUGUAUGUAUGUGAUGUUUGUAUAUAUGUAUGUGUGAUAUAAUCUGCUUGUUGUGCUUGGUGAUCUCUGAGUGGUGAGAUAAGUUCUAACCCGAACUUGAUUUCAAUUAAGAUAGGAGGAUGGUAUAGUCAUGUUCGACUUGUGUGGAGUAGUCCUUAACAAGUUGGCUUGAGAUCCAUCUGCUCAGUGGAGACUCCUUUGGAUUUGGAAAUGUCACACAAGUAUUUAAAGUCCUUAACAAGUUGGCUUGAGAUCCAUCUGCUCAGUGGAGACUCCUUUGGAUUUGGAAAUGUCACACAAGUAUUUAUGGUUAGGCAUGACUAUUUCUAAUUGGGUCUGAGAAGCUGAGGACCUUAAAACACCUAACCCAUCUUGGCCUAUUUAGGACGUAGUGCGAAAACUGUUCAGGUGUAGACUUGAUAACAGUUGUUACGCGAUACUACACUCAGACGAGUUUCUCUUGAGAAUAUUAUGGGGAGAUGAGUCAGUCAUCUUAACCUGUAAUAUCCGAUAGAUGGAAUUAAGACUCUGGGAACUUUUUAGAACAUGAUCUACAGGUUUUCAUCCUUAGUUCACUCCUUUGGGAUGGUUCUUACCCAGACUUCAUGCUCGUGACUUGCAGCAAACCCUUGAUUCUUGGUUGAUCCAAUCAAGUCUUGUCAAUAUCAAUGGAACUUGGGUGUUGAAAGGUGUAAACCGAAAUCCACCAAAAUGGAUGAUUGAUCUUGAAAAUGACUUGAUUCAUCCCUUGACCUUUCUUUGCCUUGUGUGUGAUCUCUUACUUGUGAUUGUUGCAUUCAUGCAUUUCAUGCGCAUCAUAAUAUUCAUCACACAAAAUUUUUAAGGAACUAAGGUAUCAUUUGCAAAUAUUUUCAGACCAUGGAUUGUGGACAAAGGAACACUAAGAAGUAUAGUUUCAGAUGUCCCGACUUGAAAGAGUUAAGGAAGCUAGCAUCUUUUGUAUUAGAUCCCUUGGACUUCAAACAACGCCAUGGGAAGCUUCUGUCCAUCUUGUCUGAUGAUGUAGUUGAACGAUUGUUGAGUGUAUUGUUACAAUUCUAUGAUCCUCUCUACCAUUAUUUCACUUUCCCAGAUUUUCAGCUUGUGCCUACCUUGGAGGAGUAUUCAAAUCUUUUGGGGAUACCUGUUUCUAGUAGAGUGCCUUUUAGUUGAUUGGAGGAGAUUCCCUAGUCUAGUAUUAUUCCUGAAGCUCUUCACUUGAAGAAGUAUGAGAUAGAGGCUCAUUGGGUGAAGAAAGGAGGAUUAUUAGAAUUGUCAUCUGUUUUCCUCAUCAAGGAAGCUACCACUUUUGCUCAAGUUGGUAGUGUGGACGCUUUUGAAGCUAUCUUUGUGUUGCUCAUCUAUGGAUUAACUUUGUUCCCUAAUAUUGACGGUUUUGUUGAUGUUAACGCCAUUAGACUUUUCUUGAUUGGGAAUCCUGUGCCUACUUUGUUGGGUGAUAUGUAUUUCUCUUUGCAUCUAAGGAAUUCUAAAGGUGGUGGAACGAUUGUCUGUUUGCAUUCCUCUUCUAUACAAGUGGUUUAUUUCGCACUUGCCUCAGACGCUUGCUUUUGUGGAGAACAAACAAUGUCUAAGUGGUCUCAGAGACUAUGUCUCUCACUACGAUGAUAUAUUUUGGUAUGACUAUCUUAAGCAGUUUGGAGAUUAUUGAUGGUUGUGGUGAAUUCUCUAAUGUGCCCCUCAUUGGUACACAAGGAGGAAUUAGCUACAACCCUGCUUUGGCUGUCGUAACUGCUUGGUUCCCCUUGAGAGACAAACCUAAUAACAUGUUGUUAGAAGGUAUUUUCUAUCAAGAGGGUAAAGAUCCCCAACAUUUGAAGUAGAAGAUUGUGCAUGCUUGGCAUAAUGUGCAUAGAAAAGGAAGAUCUGAGCUUGGUUCGUGCAAUUGUGUAGCUUUGGAAGCUUACACUCUUUGGGUGAAGAAGAGAGCUAUGGAGUUGAAGAUGCUUUAUCCUUGCGAAUGACUUAUGUUUAUAGUUGUGGUUGAGCCAUUAACUCUCCCUAACCAGGAUGUAGAGGAGUUGGAAGACGCGCUCAUCAAUAUGAAGCAAGAGAAGGAUAUGUGAGAAUAACGUUUCCAUGCCUUGAGCAAAAAGCAUGAGGAGUUACUGUUGGAGUCUAAGGACAAAGAUGCACUGAUUGAGCUACUUGAAGACCGAGUGACGAAGAGACAGAGAGAGCCAGAGGUUUCAUCAUCUAGCAUACCUUAGCCUUCCGUUGCUUGGAAGAAGAUUGUUGACCAGCUUGUCCUCAAGAAGACUCGGAUGAAGGCUUCUUUUGAGACCAAGAUUCGUCGCAUUCGAAGGAAGUAUGCGCCUUCAGCCAGAUCUUCUGACACUGUUGUUAGGGAUCCUUAGGAUGACUAGUCUCCUUGUCUCUUGUAUCUUUUAUUUUGGUUUCUGAAAUUGUACUCAGUGUAAUCCUUCCAAUUUAUAUAAAUAAAAAGAGAUUUUUGGUCAUAUCAAAUUAUUACAAUUGCCAUUUCAAUUUUUAUAUAUUUGUAAAAGAUAUAGUAAGUUCCUUGAAUAUAAAAAAAUAAUCAAGCAUUGCAUUUCAUGCAUCAUCUGCAUAAGCAGGUUUUUGUCAGUUGUUUGAUUGGUGUUCUUCUGUGCUUUAGCCAAGCUGACUCAUCGGUACAACACUCGAGCCAAUCGUCCAAAGAUCAUGGAACUCCUUGAGCAAGAGAACCGAGACUUGAAAGAGGAGAUUGCCGGACUGACUGCCAUGAUGGAGUCAGUUCUUGCUGCCCAGAGCGAAGCUUCUCCAACUCCUGCAACUCCUCCCGCGAGGACUGUCAUCUCUGAAGUGAUUACCUCUACAGUGCCUGCUGCCACCGCCCACUUUGCUCUGAAUCUGCCUACUGGAUUCCCUUGGGGAAUGCCACCUAAUUUUGUGCCAGAUGGUUUCGCUCCCACUUUUGCUUCCAUGCCGACGUCUAGCCUGGUCAUGUCUGUGCCACCUCCCGUUGAGCACACUUUGCCGCGUGUAGAAGACACCAUCUAUCAUUCUGAGCCGUCUGAGGGCCCGGAUCUUUAUGAGAAGAUGGAUGAGAUGAAAGACCAAUUCCUUGAGCUGCGCAAGGAACUGAAAACGCUGAGAGGCAAAGAUUUGUUUGGGAAAAGUGUUGUUGAACUGUGCUUGGUGCCCAAUGUGAAAAUCCCUGUGAAAUUCAAAGUGCCUGACUUUGAGAAGUAUAAGGGAAACUCGUGUCCACUCAGUCAUCUUGUAAUGUAUGCCCGCAAGAUGUCGACCCAAACAGAUAAUGAUCAACUACUGAUUCACUAUUUCCAAGAUAGCCUAAUAGGUGCUGCACUCCGUUGGUAUGUAGGGCUAGAUAGUGCAAGCAUCCGCACUUUCAAUGAUCUAGGUGAGGCUUUCGUGAAACAGUACAAAUACAACAUGGAUAUGGCGCCAGAUAGGGACCAGUUGAGGUCCAUGUCUCAGAAAGAUAAGGAGACGUUCAAGGAGUAUGCCCAGCGUUGGAUAAAGUUGGCUUCCCAGAUCACUCCUCCUUUGGAGGAGAAGGAGAUGACGAAAAUCUUUCUCAAAACCCUGAGUUCAUUUUAUUAUGAACGAAUGAUUGAUAGUGCCCCCGGUGAUUUUACAGAGAUGGUAAACAUGGGGAUGAGACUUGAAGAGGGGGUCCGUGAAGGACGUUUGUCGAAAGAAGAGGCAUCCACUAACAAGAAGUAUGGGAGCAAUUUCAGCAAGAGGAAGGAUAGUGAAGCAAACGCAAUAAGCAGUGGGAGGCAGAGGAGGCCUCAAACCAGAAGGAAUUUACCACCUCGUCAACACCAUCAUCAUCAAGUAUCAUCCGUCAUUCCAGUAUUCUCAAAUCAGCAAACAACACCAAUUCAACAACAACAACAUCAAUAUCAAAAUCAAUGUCAACAACAACAACCGCAACAAAGAAUGAACACCUACAACAAAAACAAUCAUCACCAGCAACCGAAUUUUGAGAGGAAGAAGGUCUCUUUCGACCCGAUUCCUAUGUCAUAUGCCGAACUGUACCCAUCUUUAGUCCUCAAGAAUUUGAUCCAACCGAGGAAUCCACCACAGAUACCAGAACCACUUCCUUGGUGGUAUAAACCUGAACUUCGUUGUGCUUUUCACCAGGGUGCACCUGGGCACGAUAUUGAGAACUGUUAUCCACUGAAGUACGAGGUGCAAAAGCUUAUGAAGAGUGGCAUGGUGUCUUUUGAAGACCGCGCGCCUAAUGUGAAAGCUAAUCCUUUUCCCGCUCAUGGGAAUACCUUAGUGAAUAUGGUGUACGGUUGUCCAGGUGAAUUCAAAGUUUUCGAUGUCCGGUUUAUCCGAAGAUCUUUGGUGCAAAUGCAUAAAGAUAUCUGUUUGGUGAGUGACUGUGAACAUGAUCAUGAAGGUUGUGAUAUUUGUAGUGUGAACCCAAAGGGGUGUGUUGUCGUUAAAAAGGACAUCCAGCGCCUGAUGGAUGAAGGCAUGAUCCAGAUUGUUCAAUCCCGUCAUGUAGAUGACGAUGUUAAUGUCAUUGUUCCUGUUUUCAAGAAACCAGAGCGGUUGGUGGUUCAGUACGGUAGCAGCAAUAGCCAUAGCGUCAACAAUAAAUCAGUUUCGCCGUUGGUAAUACGGUUGGCGGGCCCAGUCCCGUAUGCAUCUGAUAAGGUUGUACUGUAUCAAUACAAUGCUACGAUGAUAGAGACAGGUCAAGAGGUCCCGUUGCCUACGACCAAUUCAGUAGUGAGCAUUGCAGAUGUUACGAAGGUGACCCGUAGUGGUCGAGUUUUUGGAUCGGUGUUCCCGGAAAAUAAGGAAGAAACAGUUGUUGGUAAGAAAGCGGAGGUGCCUAAUGUAGAUCCAGUUGGUUGUUCAAAGGAUAAGUCUGGUGAAUCCAGGAAUUUGAAAACCAAUAGUGAUGAUGAUGAGGUACUCCGACUGAUCAAGAGGAGUGAAUUCAAUGUGGUUGAGCAAUUGCUCCAGACUCCCUCAAAGAUUUCUGUGUUGUCUCUGCUUUUAAAUUCUGAAGCGCACAGAGAAGCACUCCAGAGAGUUCUUGAACAGGCAUACGUGGAGCAGGAUGUUACUGUGGCUCAAUUUGAUCAUAUUGUAGCCAACAUCACUUCAUGCAACAAUUUGAGCUUUUGCGAUGAAGAACUCCCUGAGGAGGGAAGAAAUCAUAAUCUGGCUUUGCAUAUUUCGAUGAAUUGCAAGGAAGAUGCUUUGUCAAACGUGCUAGUUGACACUGGGUCGUCACUCAAUGUGCUUCCGAAGUCAACAUUGUCAAAGUUAUCUUAUCAAGGAGCUCCCAUUAGGUAUAAUGGAGUAAUUGUCAAAGCCUUCGAUGGCUCUCGCAAGAUUGUCAUUGGAGAAGUGGACCUUCCGGUCAAGAUAGGUCUGAGUGAUUUUCAGAUUACUUUCCAAGUAAUGGAUAUUCACCCGGCUUACAGUUGCUUAUUGGGAAGGCCGUCGAUUCAUGAAGCAGGAGCUAUUACUUCCACUCUGCACCAAAAGCUCAAAUUUGUCAAGAAUGGCAAGUUGGUGAUUGUGGGAGGUGAGAAAGCACUGUUAGUUAGCCAUUUGUCAUCUUUCUCAUAUGUAGAAGCUGAGGAUGGGGUUGGAACGCCAUUCCAAGCCUUAUCUAUUGCUGUUGAGAAGAGAGUUGGGGCACCUAUGUCCUCUCUAAAAGAUGCACAGAAGAUUGUUGAAGAAGGUCAUGUUGAUUAGUGGGGGCGUGUGGUAGAGGUCACCGACAACAAAGGAAGAACUGGUUUAGGGUUCCAGAAGGGCUCGUCAACCGUUAGAUCUGAAGAGAUGCAACUUAGUUUCCGUAGCGGAGGGUUCAUUCAUGGGAAUGAACAACACUUAGCUGUUGUGAUAGAGGAUAGCGAAGAGGAAGACUACACCAACUUUGUAACACGUGGACAGACAUACAACAAUUGGACUGCUGUUGAUAUUCCUGUUAUUUUGCAUCGAUCUAAGUAAUUGCUUUUAUAUUUUAAAAAAUCCUUCUCCUAUGCCUAAGGGAGAAGUGAACAUUGUUUGGGCAUUUUAAAAUUGAUCAUCAAUAUAAUUAAUUCUAUUCAUCCACAUAUUUGAUGUUUAUUUUUACUUUUUGCUUAUUUCUGAAAAUGGUAAUCACAAAAAACACAAAUAAACAAUAUAAUUGUCCAUAUGCAUAAUAUUUGGUCGCAAAUUCACUUCUCUAAAAUCAAAAUAUCAAAUCAUUAUGCAGGUUGGUUCCUAACCCCAUUAAAUACAAUGAUUCUUAUCCUUCUCCAAAUUUUGAAUUCCCUGUGAUUGAAGCCGAGGAGGAAAGUGAUGUAGAAGUGAGUGAGGAAUUGUCUCGUCUUCUUGAGCAAGAUGAGAAGAUUAUUCAGCCGUUUGAAGAGCAGAUUGAGCUAGUCAACUUGGGUUCCGAAGAUGAUGUGAAGGAAGUCAAGAUUGGGUCUCGAUUGUGUUCAGAUGCUAAGAAGGGGUUGAUUGAUCUUCUUCAAGAGUAUUCAGAUGUGUUUGCUUGGUCUUAUCAAGACAUGUCUGGGUUAAAUUCUGAGAUUGUGGAGCAUAGAUUGCCGUGGAAGCCAGAAUGCCCGCCAGUCAAGCAGAAAUUGAGAAGAACGCAUCCUGAUAUGGCUGUGAAGAUCAAAGAGGAAGUUUAGAAGCAGAUUGAUGCCGGUUUCCUUGUGACCGCUGAGUAUCCGCAAUGGGUGGCCAAUAUUGUGUCAGUGCCAAAGAAAGAUGGAAAAGUUCACAUGUGUGUUGAUUAUAGAGAUUUGAAUAAAGCCAAUCUGAAAGAUGAUUUCCCUUUGCCACACAUUGAUAUGUUGGCACACAAUACUGCUAAAUUCAAAGAAUUUUCGUUUAUGGAUAGAUUUUCCGGAUAUAAUCAAAUCAAGAUGGGACCCGAAGAUAUGGAUAAUACCAUAUUCAUUACACCCUGGGGAAUAUUCGGUUAUAGAGUGAUGCCUUUCGGUCUAAAGAAUGCUGGUGCAACUUACUAGAGAGCAAUGACUACUCUUUUUCAUGAUAUGAUGCAUAAAGAGAUUGAAGUUUAUGUCUAUGACAUGAUUUCUAAAUCAAUUAAUGAAGAGGAACAUAUUGAGAAUUUGUUGAAGCUAUUCCAGCGUUUGAGGGUAUAAACUCCGCUUGAGUCCCAAUAAGUAUACUUUUGGUGUUCGUUCUGGUAAGCUGUUGGGCUUUAUCGUCAGCGAGAAGGGUAUUGAAGUUGAUCCUGCCAAGGUCAAAGCAAUACAAGAGAUGCCUGUGCCCAAAACUGAGAAACAAGUCAGAGGUUUUCUCGGUCGCUUGAAUUAUAUUUCCAGAUUCAUUUCCCACAUGACUGCCACAUAUGCACCUAUAUUCAAGCUUCUUCGGAAAGAUCAGUCUUGUAAUUGAACCGAAGACUGCCAGAAAGCUUUUGAUAGUAUCAAAGAAUAUUUUCUUGAGCCUCCGAUUUUGUCUCCCCUUGUUGAAGGAAGACCGUUGAUCAUGUAUUUGACUGUGCUAGAAGAUAGUAUGGGUUGUGUUCUUGGUCAGCAAGAUGAGACUGGGAAGAAAGAAUUUGCAAUCUACUACCUUAGUAAGAAGUUCACCGACUGUGAGACUCGGUAUUCUAUGCUUGAGAAGACUUGUCGCGCAUUGGCUUGGGCUACUAAGCGUCCGCGUCAGUAUAUUUUGAAUCAUACCACUUGGUUGAUAUCCAAAAUGGAUCCAAUCAAGUAUAUAUUUGAGAAGCCUGCUUUAACUGGGAGGAUUACCCGUUGGCAGAUGUUGUUAUCAGAGUAUGAUAUUGAUACGAUCUUAGAAAGCGAUCAAAGUAGUAUCUUGGCAGAUCAUUUGGCUCACCAACCAAUUGAAGAUUAUCGUCAGUGCAGUAUGAUUUUCCUGAUGAAGAGAUUUUGUACUUGAAAAUGAAAGAUUGUGAUGAACCAUUGCUUGAAGAAGGGCCAGAACCUGGUUCCCAUUGGGGCAUGGUAUUUGAUGGAGCUGUUAAUCAAUAUGGAAAUGGCGUUGGGGCAGUGAUUGUUACUCCUCAAGGCACGCAUCUACCAUUUACAGCUAGAUUGACUUUCAAGUGUACAAACAACAUGGCAGAAUAUGAAGCUUGUAUUAUGGGGCUUGAAGAGGCCAUGAAUCUCAAACUCAAGUAUUUGGAUGUCUUCGUUGAUUCAGCUUUGGUUGUGAAUCAGAUCAAAGGAGAAUGGGAGACAAAUUAACCCGGUUUAAUACCGUAUAGAGAUUACGCGAGGAGGAUUUCAACUUUCUUUACAAAGGUUGAGUUUCAUCAUAUCCCUCGGGAUGAAAACCGGAUGGCAGAUGCUCUUGCAACGUUGGCAUCAAUGAUUGUAGUAAAGUAUUGAAAUGAAGUUCCCAAUUUAUCUCUGAUGCGUCUUGAUAGGCCAACUCAUUUGUUUGCUGUUGAAGAGAUCAAAGACGAGAAGUCGUGGUAUUACGAUAUCAAAUGUUUCCUCCAAAGUCAGAUUUACCCGCCUGGGGCAUCUUUGAAAGAUAAGAAGACUUUGAGAAGAAUAGCCAGUAAUUUAUACUUGAACAGUGAUGUAAUGUACAAGAGAAACUUCGACAUGGUUUUGCUCAGAUGCGUGGAUAGACACGAAGCAGACUUGUUGAUGACCGAAGUGCAUGAAGGUUCCUUUGGUACUCAUUCCAAUGGACAUGCAAUGGCGAAGAAAAUGUUGCGAGCAGGUUACUAUUGGCUGACAAUGGAAUCUGAUUGUUGCAAGUUUGUGAAGAAGUGCCACAAGUGUCAAAUUUAUGCUGAUAAGAUUCAUGUUCCUCCGACAAUAUUCAAUGUUAUUUCUUCCCCAUGGCCUUUCUCCAUGUGGGGAAUUGAUAUGAUUGGGAUGAUUGAGCCCAAAGCUUCGAAUGGACAUCGUUUCAUUUUAGUGGCAAUUGACUACUUCACAAAAUGGGUUAAAGCGGCAUCGUAUGCAAAUGUAACCAAACAAGUUGUUGUAAGGUUUAUCAAGAAUCAGAUUAUAUGCCGUUAUGGUGUGCUAAGUAAGAUCAUUAUUGAUAAUGGACUGAACUUGAAUAACAAUAUGGUGGAAGUUCUUUGCAAAGACUUCAAGAUUGCACAUUAUAAUUCUUCUCCCUACCAACCUAAGAUGAAUGGGGCUGUUGAAGCUGCGAAUAAGAACAUCAAGAAGAUUAUCCAUAAGAUGGUUGUGACAUAUAAGGAUUGGCAUGAGAUGCUCCCAUUUGCUUUGCAUGGGUAUCGUACAUCCGUCUGCACUUCAACAGGGGAAACCCCUUUCUCUCUCGUGUAUGGUAUGGAAGCAGUGCUCCCCGUAGAGGUUGAGAUUCCUUCGUUGCGUGUGCUCAUGGAAGCCAAGUUGACUGAAGCUGAAUGGUGUCAGACCAGGUUCGACCAGUUGAAUUUAAUUGAAGAGAAGAGGUUAACUGCCAUGUGUCAUGGUCAGUUAUAUCAGCAAAGGAUGAAGAAAGCUUUUGAUAAGAAGGUCAAACCUCGAGUGUUCAGUGAAGGUGACCUUGUGCUCAAGAAGAUUUUAUCAUUCAAGCCAAAUUCCAGAGGAAAAUGGACUCCCAAUUAUGAAGGCCCAUAUGUUGUUAAGAGAGCCUUUUCAGGCGGCGCAUUGAUCCUUACAACAAUGGAUGGUGAAGAGUUCACUCGUCCUGUGAACGCAUAUGCAAUCAAGAAAUACUUCGCCUAAAAAGAAAAAGAACAGCUCGCUAAGUUGAAAACCCGAAAGGGCGGCUUAGGAAAAAAUUAGCGUCUCGGUGGAUUGAAAACCCGAAAGGGUGAUCCAGGCAAAAAUUAAAGACAUAAAAACAGAAAGAAUUUCCCGAUAAUUUGAGUACCCUACCCUGGGGAAACUUAUGCAAAAAUUAGGGAUUAUGGCAAGUAACUGCAUCCUGCUGAUCUUCAGUGAUUUUUGAAGACUUGUUUGAGCACAAGGGUUGACGUUGGUUCAUCUUCAGCAGCGGCCGAGAGCAUAGUGGAUAUCAAGAUUUGGUAGAAGGAUUAAGGAUCAUUUGUAUUCAAUGUAACCCUUUUCCAUGUAAAUUACCAUUUUCAACUUUGUAAAAUCUAUGGAGUCUUGUCAUUUACAGACUAAAUCA